GAUUGGAUAGUUGCUCUAGGGAACCGUGGAGGUACUAUUACGUGAGUAAUACGACCCGACACUUAGUACGGCCUGCUCCAUCCGGGUGCGGUCUGCUAGUUCGUAACAGGACGAAACAGCCCUCUGAGAUGGAAGGCUAAUGGCGAUCAAGUAUCUACUACCCCGCAAGGGACGAUUAGAAGCUUUGUGAGCCUCCGCACAUCCUACGGGAUAAUAACUUGCUGCAUUAGUGAUAGAUUUCUCAAAAGCGAGCAGGCAGAAGGUUAAUAAACCUUACUACCUUCGGGGAGAAAAGGAAUCCUGUUCGGAACUCCAGUUCAGGACCCGUCACCACAAUUAAUACGGUGGUGUUACUGCUUGCCUAUGAGAGAUCUUCCUCCUUUUGUAACCGUCAGCCGGCAUAAUACUUAACAUGAACAAACUAAAUUUAAACCAAAAAGGGAUAAAUCUGUUGUCUCUAUUAAGUACUAAGUACGUGGAGGUUUCCAAAAUGAUACCGCUUUCCGAUAAACUCGGAACUACUCUAUUCAAACCAUUGGGGUAUAAUAACAUAUUAUCCCAUGGUAGAAUUGGUAGAUUGGCAAGUGGGAUAAGAAGAACGAAUCUCUUUAUACACUUUACACUGACUAUGUGGAGAACACACGGAACGGCCUUUACCAUAAAAUGGUUGAAAGGAUGCUCUGUGGCUAUCCAAAAAUGUCUAGGUAAAGAUAUAUUGAAAUCUUUAAGAGUCUUGACACCAGACUUACCUUUGAAUGGGUUGUCGCGUGGUCUUCCUAGAAUUAUACCUGUCGAUGACAGAGUACGUAUUCGAAGAGGUCACGUACCAACAAUCCGGUUCUGGCUCGGUUUAUUUAACCUUUACCGGGUGCUAAAAGCACCUGGUGAGCUGAAACUGGGAACCAUUACUGAUAAAUUCUCCGGGGAUAGAGAUGGGUUACGAGCUCUAAUGCGUUUAGCACUAAAGUUCAACCCUUUUGCAAAAUUUAAUAAAUUAGGCAAAGAAUCUCUUGCUCCUCAGAAAUUUAUUAUGUCUAGAUCGGCUUCGCCGUCUAACAAAGUGUCCUGGUUUGGGAUCCUAACGGAUACCAGACUUCUUAGAGAGGAUUCUCCCAGAUUAUGGGAAAACAUCCAAACUUACCUAACCA
rnacentral:misc_RNA from 1 species